GGGGGGACCAUCCUCCAAGGCUAAAUACUCCUGACUGACCGAUAGUGAACCAGUACCGUGAGGGAAAGGCGAAAAGAACCCCGGCGAGGGGAGUGAAAAAGAACCUGAAACCGUGUACGUACAAGCAGUGGGAGCCCCACCACUAAGCCAGUGGUGAACUCCACAUACGCAUCCUUUGCUGAGGAUACGGUUAACGGAGCGAAAGCGACGUUCAACCGCAAAAGAAGCAGAGGGGGCUUAGUGGUGGGGUGACUGCGUACCUUUUGUAUAAUGGGUCAGCGACUUAUAUUCUGUAGCAAGGUUAACCGAAUAGGGGAGCCGGAGGGAAACCGAGUCUUAACCGGGCGUUAAGUUGCAGGGUAUAGACCCGAAACCCGGUGAUCUAGCCAUGGGCAGGUUGAAGGUUGGGUAACACUAACUGGAGGACCGAACCGACUAAUGUUGAAAAAUUAGCGGAUGACCUGUGGCUGGGGGUGAAAGGCCAAUCAAACCGGGAGAUAGCUGGUUCUCCCCGAAAGCUAUUUAGGUAGCGCCUCGUGAAUUCAUCUCCGGGGGUAGAGCACUGUUUCGGCUAGGGGGCCAUCCCGGCUUACCAACCCGAUGCAAACUGCGAAUACCGGAGAAUGUUAUCACGGGAGACACACGGCGGGUGCUAACGUCCGUCGUGAAGAGGGAAACAACCCAGACCGCCAGCUAAGGUCCCAAAGUCAUGGUUAAGUGGGAAACGAUGUGGGAAGGCCCAGACAGCCAGGAUGUUGGCUUAGAAGCAGCCAUCAUUUAAAGAAAGCGUAAUAGCUCACUGGUCGAGUCGGCCUGCGCGGAAGAUGUAACGGGGCUAAACCAUGCACCGAAGCUGCGGCAGCGACGCUUAUGCGU
rnacentral:rRNA from 1 species